AUAAAAUAUAAAUGAUUAAACAAUAUUUCUCAAAAAUUUUCAAAUUAAUAAAUUAUAAUUACAAAAAACGAGCCGGUUACUCAAUUCUGCAUGGUGAACAUCAUCAAAAAACCAAUCCACAUGUGGUUCCUUACACUCCUUCCUGCCAAAAAGGUCAAAACUGGGGACUAAGGACGACUCCAGGAUUGCCCACUCCUCUUCCUCCAUUCUUGCAUAAAGUUCAAACUCUUCUCCACAUAACCAUAUCCUCUAUAACAAUAAUUCGUCCUUAACAUACUCUGGUGUUGGAGAAGCAAUAUCAGAUACAUUAUCCAUAUUUUGACAUCAAUCAACAUCAUGUGAAACAGAUCUAACACACACCACUCUGUGCCGUUUUCGUCUCUUGGAGGAAUCACCACUGCCGGAUCCCUGGAAUCCACUUUGUGAAGCACAUCAUCAUCCUGAGGGCUGAAACGGGGCCCCUGAUCGGGCACCAAUUUGCAAAGUCGCUAAUUCUAUCGAAUAUCAAUAAACAAUAAUAAGACUUAUACCUAACGGUUAACAC
rnacentral:lncRNA from 1 species